CUGGCAUGGAGCCUGGCCAAACACAAACUUCUGUACGCUCGUCGAAUGAUAAACCUGCUGGACAGUCGAACUCGAAUACGGAGUAAUCUUCUACUUCUUGGUUGAAUUUAACACAUCGAUAGAAUCUAUAGGAGCAAGAUGGACAAAGUACCCUUGUCUAGAGCAAGUAAAUUCGGUUUGCGUAUUUUCUCGAACAACUCUGAUGUGUCCUUCAGUGUCUACUACGCGAACAACUCGAAAAUCGGAUGACUUGACUUUAGUCGAGUACUCAAGCUCUUUUUGCUGAAAUUAAAAAUCAUUUAACAAUUAAUCGAACAUUUUAUAAUAUUUGUACUAAUAAAGAAACGAAGUACUGAUA